rnacentral:rRNA from 1 species
CGCAGCCGCGGUAAUUCCAGCUCCAAUAGCGUAUAUUAAAGUUGUUGCAGUUAAAAAGCUCGUAGUUGAAUUUCGGGAUCAGUUGAUCGGUCGUGCCUCGGUACGUACUGGUCAAAUUGAUUCCUACCUUCUGACGAACCACGAUGUCAUUAAUUUGGUGUCGUGGGAAAUCAGGACUGUUACUUUGAAAAAUUAGAGUGUUUAAAGCAGGCUCGCGCUUGAAUACAUUAGCAUGGAAUAAUGAAAUAGGACGUUUGAUUCUAUUUUGUUGGUUUCUAGGAUCGACGUAAUGAUUAAUAGGGAUAGUUGGGGGCAUUAGUAUUCAAUUGUCAGAGGUGAAAUUCUUGGAUUUAUUGAAGACUAACUACUGCGAAAGCAUUUGCCAAGGAUGUUUUCAUUAAUCAAGAACGAAAGUUAGGGGAUCGAAGACGAUCAGAUACCGUCGUAGUCUUAACCAUAAACUAUGCCGACUAGGGAUCGGAUGAUGUUAAUUUUUAAUGACUCAUUCGGCGC